UCGAGAAUCUUCCACAAUGGACGAAAGUCUGAUGGAGCGACGCCGCGUGAGUGAUGAAGGCCCUACGGGUUGUAAAACUCUGUCAGGAGAGAAGAAUCGCCGGGACGCCAAUACCAUCCUGGUUUGACGUUAUCUCCAGAGGAAGCUCCGGCUAACUCCGUGCCAGCAGCCGCGGUAAUACGGGGGGAGCAAGCGUUGUCCGGAAUUAUUGGGCGUUAAAGGGCGUGUAGGCGGCCUGGUCAGUCGAAUGUGAAAUCCCACGGCUCAACCGUGGAAUUGCGUUCGAUACUGCCUGGCUUGAGUAUGUGAGAGGUGUGCGGAAUUCCUGGUGUAGCGGUGGAAUGCGUAGAUAUCAGGAAGAACACCGAUGCGAAGGCAGCACACGUGGCGCAAUACGUGACG
rnacentral:rRNA from 1 species